AUUGAACGCUGGCGGCAUGCCUUACACAUGCCAGUCGAACGGUAACGGGCCUUCGGGUGCCGACGAGUGGCGAACGGGUGAGUAAUACAUCGGAACGUGCCCGAUCGUGGGGAUAACGAGGCGAAAGCUUUGCUAAUACCGCAUACGAUCUACGGAUGAAAGCAGGGGACCGCAAGGCCUUGCGCGGACGGAGCGGCCGAUGGCAGAUUAGGUAGUUGGUGGGAUAAAAGCUUACCAAGCCGACGAUCUGUAGCUGGUCUGAGAGGAUGAUCAGCCACACUGGGACUGAGACACGGCCCAGACUCCUACGGGAGGCAGCAGUGGGGAAUUUUGGACAAUGGGCGCAAGCCUGAUCCAGCCAUGCCGCGUGCAGGAUGAAGGCCUUCGGGUUGUAAACUGCUUUUGUACGGAACGAAAAGCCUUCUUUUAAUACAGGAGGGUCAUGACGGUACCGUAAGAAUAAGCACCGGCUAACUACGUG
rnacentral:rRNA from 1 species